GUUUGCUAUUGUUAUUCCUCCAGCACUAUUCUGCCUGCUAAGAACUGCUCUUGCUAUGUAGGGUCUUCUGCUAUUCCAUAUGAAUUUUGGCACUGCUUUCUCUAUCUCACUGAAGAUAGGUUACUGAUGUUAGGAUUUUGAUGUUUAUUGCACUGAAUUUGUAGAUUGCUUUGGGCAAUAUUGCCAUUUACGUGGUUAAUUUUUUCCAAUCCAGCAACAUGGAAAGUCUUUCCAUUUUCUUAAGUUUUCUUCAAUUUCCUUCUUUACAUUUUUCAAGUUUUCACUAUAGAGAUACUUCAUAUCUUUGAGUAAUUCCUAAGCCAUUUUGUUUUUGAGAUUAUUGCAAAUGGAAUUGUUUUCCUAAUCUGAGUCUCAAUCUUCCCAUGGUUGGCAUACAGAAAAGCAUCUGAUUCUUUUGUGGGUUGGAUUUAUACCAUGCUACUUUACCAAAGUUUUGAAUCAGCUCUAGUAGCUUGGGGGAAGAGUCUAUGGGGUCCUUUACGUACAAGAUCAUGUCUUCUAAAAAAAAGAAAAGGGAAUAGUUUAACUUCUUCAUGACACUCCAAAUUACUUAAUUGAUAAAUUUUCUUUCUUUCUUUCUCUUUUUCUGUCUCUCUCUUUCUUCCUUUUUUUUUAUGGUCCAUACCCAGGGCUU